AGGAGACGUAAGACAGCAGACGGCCCAAAGAUGAGGGACCAGGACCAUGAUGAGGAAGGAGAUGAGGAAGAGUCACCACAUAGAAAAAACAAGGUGAUCUACAGUUACCUAAAAGGACGUGAAAAUAGCCAAGAAGAGAUGAGAAUCAGCUCCAUCAAGAGAAGACCAGGGACAGCACCAGAUGGCUCUACACUACACACACUCUACAUUUAUUCAUCUGACAGAGGACGAGGACGCUCCAUUUAAAGAGGCUGGGAGACGAAGAGGCAGAGAAGACUCUGGGCAGAUUUGCAAAAUGUUUAACAUGC